CGCAACUUCUUCCAGUCUGGCAUCCCAGAAGCCCAACAUCUUGUGGUCCAAUCUAUUUCCUUUUUUGACCAGAGUCUCCUAAUAGCGUCCUUCUCCAUUGGUCCAGCUUGUGCACCAUCCUUGUCAAGAAACAUCCACUCUUUUAAAGGUUCCAUAAAAGCAGAAGCGGCAAUCAAGUUCGACUGCAGAGGUAUAGUUGUUCUGAAGCUUCAUGAACUACUGUUAGUAGAUCAACAGCCAGUACACAGCCACCAACCAAGACGCAUGACUCUACAUUUGUCAAAACCUUCAUCAAGACCUGUGCAGGGCAGAAAAUAUUUGUCAAGAAACAUCCACUCCUUUAAUGGUUCCAUAAAAGCAGAAGCAGCAAUCAAGUUCGACUGCAGAGGUAUAGUUGUUCUUUCUGAAGCUUCAUGAACUACUGUUAGUAGAUCAACAGCCAGUACACAACCACCAACCAAAACACAUGACUCUACAUUUGCCAAAACCUUCAUCAAGACCUGCGCAGGGUGGAAAAUAUUGAAAAACGAAAUAACAUUCUCAAAGUUAAGACUCUAGCCAAAUAGUAUUUUGAUCAGACAUAUAAAUGUAAAAUUAACUAGAGAGACUCUCUCCACAAUAAAAUGGAUUUUCAAGUAUCAGUUCCGAAGUCGGUGCAUUAUACUUCCUGUUGCAUGGUAACCUUGCUAAGAAAACAUUUCUAAUAGGUAAAGAUGGUCCCCCUCUUCACUACACAUAUCAUAUGACAACAGCUGAGAGAGCUUACAUUUGUUUCAUGUGGGCAUUAGUUGAUAUGCAUUAAAUCCAUUUUCAAAAUAUAAAGCGUGUUUGAGGAAUAGUUAUUACACGAGAUCAGAGGAGCAGAAAUUUUAGUCUUCAGCCUCAGAAACUAGUGUAGAAAGUGAAGGUGGUUUGCUCUUCCAAACAGUGUCAUUAAAAGCCAGCAUUUUGUCACUUAAAGUGAUGAAGCAACGCGAAGGGAGGAGUUUACCUCUUCAUGGUCGAGCCAUGCGCUUUAGAGAAGUUUGCACGUUAAACAAUGGCGCACAAAGUCAUCUCAAUGAGAAUCGGUCACUUCUUUAAUGACAACUUUGAGGAGUUGGAUCAAUAAUGGCAUUACUCUAUUGAAUUGCAAUUCAAUAUUUAUUGUACUAAAUUCAUAGAUGUUUGAUAUUUUUAAUUCUACAAAUUGUGCACUUUACUUCAAAUAAGUGUGUGCUUCACUCUCGUUUUUGCUCCAACCCGAUAAACCUUGUCGUCUUUUUGUGCUUGGCCCUUUUAAAAAGUUUUCUUCCACAGAAGUGCUUCCCUUCUAUAAUAUCAAGAGAUGAUGAGUUUCAAAAGUGUUAUCGAGGAAUUUGGUAUUUAUACAGUGAAUAAGUAUUCCCAUACAAAGUUGCAUGCUUUACUUUGCUGGUUGCUCAAAAAGCUGCUCUAACAUAAGAUAAACUGAGAAGAAGGGGAAUUCCUCUAUGUUCAAGAUGCUACUUGUGUGGUCAAGAGGUAGAGACUAUCAGCCACCUGUUUCUAUACUGCGGGGUGACUAGUCAGCUGUGGAAUUUGUCCAUCAAUAUCAGGAGUAUUAGGUGGACAAUGCCAGGAAGAACAACUGAUCUCUUGUCAUGCUCGAAUGCAGGGGGGAAAUAACACUAUCUUAUCGCACCAUGCCAGAAUGCAGGGGGAAAUAACACUCUUCUCUCACAAAGACAGAUGGAAAAUUGUCCCUGCAACUAUUUGGUGGACAUAAUGGAAACAGAGAAAUUGAAGAUGUUUUGAGGAUACAGUCAGCCCUAUCCAAAAGAUCAAGAUGAACCGUAUUCUCCUUUUUUUCUUUUUGGUGUAGAGCAGAAUAUAGUGAUGAUCUAAAAAUCAAUUCUACAAGUCUUAGAUUCCUUGUAAGAAGAUCAAGGGUUGUAAUUUUUGUUUCCUCUUUGAUCUUUUCUAAUGAUCCCUUUUGGCUCCCAACACAAGCUUGGUGCUGAAGAUUUAUUAAUAUACUGAUAUAUGUUACCUUUCAGAAAAAGGUAUUUCAAUUGGAUCACCUCACAGAUCGACUGGUAAACAAUUUCUUUUGAGAAAUGGGAAGUGUAUUAGAUUAAAAUAAAAGCACCAAGAAGGUGUGCCCAGAAAAAUAGAAGAUCCCUUUCAAUUUUUAAAGGAAUUCAAUAACAUCUAUAACAGCUUCUGCAUCAAAGUUUUGUUUACACCAAAAAAUAAAACAAUUGUAAACAGUCCAUUUUGAUUUCUGAAUGGAACAACCUUCUGCAUUAAAGGAAUUCUUUUGCUUACUUCUUAUUUCUGAGGUACAAGCAAGAUAUUAGCAGGAGAGUUACCAGAUAUUAAAGUGGCAAAGACUGCUUACACAACCAAAAUGCCAGUUUUCAAAUAAAGCAGCAAGAGCAUGGGAAAUGCCAAAGCAUAUAGGAACUGCAGUCAGAAGACUCCUAACUGAGGCAGAUAGGAGGUGAAAGGCAUGCAUUAACGACAGAGAUUAGGUAGGCGUUUUGGCAUAUAUGUUAUUUGCAAAUCAAUGUUUUAAAAUUUUGUCCAUUAUUUAAACUUCAGCUUGAAAUAGAGAAUUUGAAGUUGAAAGCUAUGUUGCGCGGACUCUCCAAAAUACUGCCGCACCUGUGUCGGAUUCUCCAAAAAUACACUGCUUUUGGAAAAUCCGUCACACACCCGGCGAUAUUUUCGGAGAGUCCGAGCAACAUAGGUUGAAAGCUGGUUUGAGGAGUAUUUCAUGUGAAAAAAGGGAUUUCAAUCACAAAAAACUUCAAACUUUUUUCCAAGUGAAAUUCAUAUCCAAAACUCUUUUCCUAAGUAGCUUGGACACGGGUGCGGGUGUCCAACACGGGUGCGGAUUUAGAGGUCGGAUCCUUCGAGAUGUAAAUUCUAGGAUUCAGGGAUACGGAUCCUAGUACGGAUACGAGUACGGGAAUCCGGCUAAAAAUAAUUUAAAAAGAUAACAAUAUCUCUAAAUUAUGAGAAAUUUUGUGAAAUACUUACGUAUAGCUUGUAAAGUGUGGAUUUCUUUUUUAUUCUCUAGUUGUAGAUAAGUAAAUGAUUAAUUUCCUAGAUAAGGUAUGCUAUUUUCUUCAAAUUUACCCUAGUUUUGGUUCUAAUUUUGGGAAUCAAAUUGUAUCUUGUCUCGAAUUUUUCCGUACGUCGUAGUCAAAGUAUCCAAAUUGUUUGACCGGAUCCGGUACGUAUCCCAUACCCACACCCAUUGUCGUGGCGACACGAGUGAGGCACCUAAACUGUCAUGUUGGAGCAAGUUAGCUCUUUUCCAACUCCAACUUCAAAUACUCAUUUUUUUCAACUUCAUCAUAAUAUUGUCCAAAUGGACACUAGAUUUUGUAAUAAGGGUGUAAAUCUUCAUCAUUCUAGUGAAUUGAGGAACCAAUAGAAGCUCUCCCCUUAAAUGGGUCUUUUUUAUAUCUUUUCAUACUAGGACCCAUUAUUAGCCCAACAAACCUCAUUUGCUAUAUUUCUUUAGUCCUUAUACUUAAUAAAAAUAACUUCUUUCUUUUCCAAGGACAGAUGGUGAUAUUUUACAAUCACAAACAUCAUUCGCUAUUUUACUUUUUACUCCUCAUACUUAGAAGAAGCAAUUCCCUUUUCCUUUUUACGAAAAAAUGUGGUGUUAUUUAAAGACAAUCAUUAAAUACAACAGCAAGGUAAACGAGGCGCACCUUUAGAAGAAGAAGAAGACGGUGUCGUAAAGCUCUAUCAUCAGUCCUGUCCAAGAGAACUGUAAUGUGUGCGGUGCCUUCAAA
rnacentral:lncRNA from 1 species